GACGAACGCUGGCGGCGUGCUUAACACAUGCAAGUCGAACGGAAAGGCCUGCAGCUUGCUGCGGGUACUCGAGUGGCGAACGGGUGAGUAACACGUGGGUGAUCUGCCUUGCACUUCGGGAUAAGCUUGGGAAACUGGGUCUAAUACCGGAUAGGACAGCUGUUUAGUGUCAGUUGUGGAAAGUUUUUUCGGUGCAAGAUGAGCUUGCGGCCUAUCAGCUUGUUGGUGGGGUAAUGGCCUACCAAGGCGUCGACGGGUAGCCGGCCUGAGAGGGUGUACGGCCACAUUGGGACUGAGAUACGGCCCAGACUCCUACGGGAGGCAGCAGUGGGGAAUAUUGCACAAUGGGCGGAAGCCUGAUGCAGCGACGCCGCGUGGGGGAUGAAGGCCUUCGGGUUGUAAACUCCUUUCGACAGGGACGAAGCUUUUGUGACGGUACCUGUAUAAGAAGCACCGGCUAACUACGUGCCAGCAGCCGCGGUAAUACGUAGGGUGCGAGCGUUGUCCGGAAUUACUGGGCGUAAAGAGCUCGUAGGUGGUUUGUCGCGUCGUCUGUGAAAUUCCGGGGCUUAACUUCGGGCGUGCAGGCGAUACGGGCUGACUUGAGUGCUGUAGGGGAGACUGGAAUUCCUGGUGUAGCGGUGAAAUGCGCAGAUAUCAGGAGGAACACCGAUGGCGAAGGCAGGUCUCUGGGCAGUAACUGACGCUGAGGAGCGAAAGCAUGGGUAGCGAACAGGAUUAGAUACCCUGGUAGUCCAUGCCGUAAACGGUGGGCGCUAGGUGUAGGGGGCUUCCACGUCUUCUGUGCCGUAGCUAACGCAUUAAGCGCCCCGCCUGGGGAGUACGGCCGCAAGGCUAAAACUCAAAGGAAUUGACGGGGGCCCGCACAAGCGGCGGAGCAUGUGGUUUAAUUCGAAGCAACGCGAAGAACCUUACCAGGUCUUGACAUCCUUCUGACCGGCCUAGAGAUAGGCUUUCUCUUCGGAGCAGAAGUGACAGGUGGUGCAUGGUUGUCGUCAGCUCGUGUCGUGAGAUGUUGGGUUAAGUCCCGCAACGAGCGCAACCCCUAUUGUUAGUUGCCAUCAUUAAGUUGGGCACUCUAGCGAGACUGCCGGUAAUAAACCGGAGGAAGGUGGGGAUGACGUCAAAUCAUCAUGCCCCUUAUGACCUGGGCUACACACGUGCUACAAUGGUUGGUACAACGAGUCGCAAGCCGGUGACGGCAAGCUAAUCUCUUAAAGCCAAUCUCAGUUCGGAUUGUAGGCUGCAACUCGCCUACAUGAAGUCGGAAUCGCUAGUAAUCGCGGAUCAGCACGCCGCGGUGAAUACGUUCCCGGGCCU
rnacentral:rRNA from 1 species